GUGUUCGUAGAGAGAACGAGAAAGAAGCCGAGGAUGCUGGGGAGGCUGGGAGGAGGCGUGGGUUGGGCACAUACCUACCAUGUGCCAGGUGCCUGACACACGUCAUCUCAUUCGGUCCCCAUAGCAGCCCAUUGUGAUCCUAACAGCAAACGCUCCCAUCAUGCUUACUCCGUGCCAGGCACCGUGCUAAUUGCUUUGCACAUAGUCACUCGGUUAAUAAUAGCAACGACCCCGAGAUAGAUACCAGCGUUUAUCCCAUAUUAUAAAAGAUCGCUAAGGCCCAGAGAGGUUAAGUAACUAGUGCAAGGUCACACAGCUAGUAGGCGAUGGAGUUUGGUUCAACCAUGCGUGGAUGAGUAAACUGAGGCUCAGAGAUAUUAAAUCACUUGCCGAAGGACACAGAGCUGCACUAAGAUUCAUGCCUAAGUCUGAUCCCUGAGUCUGGGCUCUUUCCUUGAAUACCCUGGGCUUUCCUAGGGAAGCAUACACUUCAAGAGAAAGAUUAUUCCAGACUCUUCCAGAAAGAAGAGACUGGAGGACCAGGGCACUCAGACCUUAAUAGUACAACAGAACGGACACGAAAUUAACAGUGGCCGUUUGUUUAAAAACGGCUAAGAACAGAGACGGUGAGUUCUGGGCCCCUAAUAAUACAAGGGAAGUAGAAAGAGGUGGUAUGUGCUUGGUGCUUGCAUUGCUUUUCUUUUCUUUCUGUUUUGGCAUUUUCUUGCUUGUCAGUAAAGAGAAUUAACUGCUUCCUGUCUCAAACAGAUGUGGGCAUCUUCAGGGGGUGCUGUGUGCAAACACAGGCAAGCGUUUCACUGAGAGACCCUUCGCAGGUGAUUCUCCUGUGUCCCCGAAAUUCACAGCCGUCCAGUCUGGUGGGAUAGCAGCAAAGACACCCCCUGAUGGCUCAGAACAGAGCGAAGGGCCGGAAACCCCAACUUCGGGCGCCCUAAGCCACCGGCGGAGAGGGGGCUUCCCUGGGAUCCCCGGCCUGCUCUGUCUUCCCCAAGGCAGCAUCUGCAUCUUCCUGCUGGGAAGGCAGCCCGAACACAAAUCAGACCCAACCCAUGCCUGACUAGGGAAAGCAGAGAAACUGGCACUGGUCCGUCCGGGUCUGUGCAUGGAGAAACACCUCCUUGGGUUUUGUCAGUCUGUGUGCUAUGUUCCAGAAAAUUCCAUGGGAGCCCGAGGGACGAAGCCAUUCUGGAUGGAGCUGAGAAACCCAAGGUGGCUACACGGAGGCGGGAUCUCGAAGGACCGGGGGGGGGGGGGGGUGGUGUGCGAGGCCAGCCCCUCUGAGAAGGAAGCUGGAGCUCACUGCUCUUGGGGUGACCCUGUUCUGAAGACAGAGCACUUCAGCUGCUGACUUUUCCAGGAAAUGACUCGUGUGUGUGUGUGUGUGUGUGUGUGUGUGUAUGCACGUGUGAGCUUGGAGGUCCGGUGAGGAUCGCAGCAGCGGCCACGAAGGAUCAGAAUGGCACUAGUGAGUGGCUGAAAAAGCUCCUGUGAGGAAAAGGACCGCUUCAGCACAGCAGCAGGUGCUGGUGAGGGUUGACGUUUCUGUUAGCGUGUCCCCUCGGGCGUCCCUUCACGUCCCCUGGUACCCAUGGGGCCCCCGUGGGUGGUGGAGGGAAGUCCUCCCCUGUCUCCUCUUCAGUUAGGUGAGCCAGCCUCCCCGCCUCCCCGGGGUUCCCUGGGGCAGGCCUCUCUUCAGUUUGUCCCGUCCCUGUCUGCACACAUCAUUCCUCUCGUAGAAGAGUGGAAUUCUUACAUAAAAGCAGGAAGACUCUCUCCUCUCUCCCUCCUAGUCCUCCUCCUCCCCUCCUCUGCUUCCCCCACCUUCUCAACCCUUUCUCACCGCCACCCUCCCCCGCUCUGACCUCACCAGCACCUGGUUUGGGCUCUUGACUACGUGUCACUCUGCGCCCUUCUACAUUUCAGGCCACGGAGCAUCAUCACCAGGACCUCCUGCCUCUUGUUUUGGGCUAUGGUCAGAUGGACCCACUUUUGUUCCUUUGGGCCUCGAGCCCUGCCCCUCAAGAACACCCUCAGACCUCUAAGGCAGGCUGGAGCUUUGGCACCUUGGGAGUUCACACUGGAACGCUGGCAGAUUGCAACUAACCUCUGCCAGGGUCACCCCCAGGGGAUUGAGUGGCUUUGAGCCCAAACUUGGAGUGUCCCAGAGGAGAGGUGUCCCAGCAGAUACAAAAUUCGAUUCGGUCUAACUUUCCAGAAUCUCUCCAAACCCCCAAAGUCUCCCCAAAAUUGUAAUACAGAUGAGGUCAGCCCCCUUCAUUUGCAGGGGAGAGGGAGGAAGGGAAGCAUAUGCAUGCAAUGGAUAAACCGACCCUGCUUGAACUUGAACUUGAACUUGGUUAUCAUGAACCAGUUUGCUGCUGGGAUUGUGAUUUUGGAGGAGCUGAGAGUGACCCACUUCAUUAAAAGCAAACACAUGGCUAUGUACACCCAGCUCAUUGUUUCCUACACAACCCCAAUGCACACCGGGGGCUUCCAGAAAUGUUUGUUGAUGGAGGGAAGGACCUUGACCUCUCACAAGGCUGCCACCACGCCGACACCCACAGGAAAGGCGUCUGGGAGCUCCCUGUGGCAGGGAACUCAUCCGACGGUCAUCUUUUAGUUUGUUUUCUCUGAAGUCCUCACAGUGGGUACUGACUGUUCAUAUGUUACUGCAAAAAAAAGUUGCAAAACCUCCCUCCCAGAAAAUCAAACGCUGCUUUACAUGUUGUUGGAGCAGCAUGAUUUAAAACUCCUCCGAAAAGCGCCAGGCAGAGUGAUUCAUUCUCUCUGCAGCGGUAAGCCUGACAUAUGCUGUGCACGUGUGCCCAGUGUGGACCGAGCAGCCAGGCUGGAUUCGGAGAGGGGCCCACUCAGAAGAAAACUCUUUAUUUUUACCCUCUGCCAAAAAUGGAACCUCACCCCAAUUCUCCCUCCUAAAUAGCACAGCCAGGAGGCCUGCCAUUUCAGAAAGGCUGCCUAGAAGCUCCAAAAUGCUCAGUUGAAGUUAGACCCCAAAAGGACAACUGGAUUUAUAGAAAUUGAAUCAAACUCCUCACCUAAAAAUAAAAGGACCCAGGUUUCUAAAAAUACAGUAGUAUUUAUUCCCGGCCAGGCGCCUAUGUUUGCAUCCUUUUAGUUUUCUUAGGAAACUGUUCCUUCCAAAAUGCGUUCUGGUGCCCUAGCCACGAAGGGACGUUUCCCAGGGCGGCAGAAGACUGUGGAUGGUUCUGGAGGCUCCAGUUACACUGAAACCCUGGAGGAGGACACCUCGUGGAAGUACAAAAGACACAGGAGACUGCUUCCCUGGCCAACUCCAACAGUAGGAGUCUAUUUCUCAACUCAGCCGGCCUCUGUGUUGGAUCUCCUUGUCUCGAAGAUUUGCAACUCUUUCCGGCAACCUCAGAAAUGGUGUGGCCACGGUGGAGUCUCGUUCCAUCUGUGUUCUCUUCAACUAAUGAAAAACUAUGGAGGUCUCGUUAAGCAGAAUACACGGGAAGUCUCUGUGCUUUGGAAUUGGCUGAUCAAGAAUUUGGAGAAUGGCAGUCAUCGUGGACAAUGAUGCACACCACUGUAAGGGGGCCAGCACGCGGUGGAGGCCAACUGCUUUCCCACGGUCUCCGUCUGAAUCCUGCCUUCCCCACUGCUCCAUUUUGUAGCAGCAAUUGGCCAAAGGAAAGCAACCUACAGACCUGAGUCCAAAAGCAACCUAAAGACCUGAGUCUAACAAUCGGCAUUUCCUCCUGCAUGGUGAGGACGAUCUCUUUGUCUAACGUAUAAGGAGGCUCUAAUUCCAAUUAGGACUCACAGUCAAGCUGUCACACAAUGACUUUCGUAAAGUUGGGUGCGGCAUGAAUGAGCCCAGGGUAAUUCAAGCAUUCUUUCUUCUUCGGAUCACUUUUAUACUUCAAGAUUCUGGUCCCUUGACUUUUUAAUUGAUCUUCACUCAGCACUUCACGCUUGGAACGCUUCGGCCAGAAGGUUCUUUGUCCCACUCCUCAGAAAUUAAUGGCGUGUGGGGAAAGUUUUAGGUGCACUGGGGGGAGCUCCAAUUAAAAGAGGCCUGGGUGGGGAUCUUCUGCAAAACAAUCAUCCUUUGAAUACGCGGAGGCUCACUUUGCCCAAAUCUGUCUGCGUCGCAAGUUUGCGUUUCGUGUAUUAGAGUUUCUUAAAAUAGGACUCACGGUUGAACCUCACUCAGGUUCUGAGUUAAAGUCUUGAGCCAGGUCUGCAGGGAGCAGAGCGAGCAAGCUGCUGUGUAGUGAUGAGGGCCACAGCCUCACGCUGGGCUCUAAAUCACAGCUAAAACCCCAGAGCUAAAAGCAUCAUUCCUCUCUGGCACUUUCGAUUUAAAAGCCAUGCUAUAUUUUUGUUUCCAAUUAUAGAAGGAGAAAAAUAAAAGCAUCUGGAACUCAUUACUGUCCCUUUAUUCCACACCAUAACUCUAAGAACUCUCCAAAAUGCACGGGCAGAGAGAGGAAGCGGUGCCUCCAGCAGUAAGCCCUCACACCCCAGCCCCCGAUUCCCCUGUGCAUCUCCUCGGCCACAUUGCAAACACAUGGAGUGUGGGGUUUAUGACGGAACCUUGACAGCUUGUCGGCUCCUGCAGGGAGGAAGUUCCAGGGAGCGUGAGGGUCACCCAGCUUCUCAGGCUGCUGCCUUCUUCUGUCUGGCCAUUCCUCACAUGCAACACUUGACCCCCCCAGCCCAAGAAUCCAAGUCCUCAGGGUCAGGCCUUCUCCCCAGACUUCUGCAUGGAUCGCAGAUCCUGGUUCCAGAAACAUAAGAUUCCAGCUUACGACUCCAGAGAGGGCAAGCCCAUAUUGCCUUUAAUGCCUCACACAAGAUGGACACGUGGCUACCUGCGGCCUCAGGACUUGAAUCAAACUCUUGGGUAUCCAACACAAGGCCCUUCCUGCCCCACCCUGACACUGCCCUGGAUUUGUAUCACUCACUCUCCCUGAGCAUGCUGUCUUCUGCCACAUGGUAGUUUAUUUCUCUAAACACAUCACAAACACGGAGCGUCUGGGUGGCUCAGUUGGC